CCCUUAGAUGUCCUGGGCUGCACGCGCGCUACACUGGAAGUUACGGAUUGAGCUACUACCUUGUCCGAAAUGGUCCGGGUAAUCACCUAAAAGCUUGUCAUAAUUGGAAUGGAUUAUUGUAACUAGUAAUCCUGAACGAGGAAUUCCUAGUAAGUCCCAGUCAACAGCUGGUACUGAUUACGUCCCUGCCCUUUGUACACACCGCCCGUCGCUACUACUGAUUGGACGUUUAAGCAAGAUUUUUAAACACUGACAGUGUGUAGUUCACGCUAUACUACAGUGAGAAGAAGAAGAUCGAGCUUACUUGUCUAGAGGAAGUAAAAGUCGUAACA
rnacentral:rRNA from 1 species